AUAUCAAACAAAGAAAGUGUUAACUGAAUGGACUGAACUAAUAGAAAACUGAAGUAAUUUUUGACUUUUGCUUGGAAUACUGCUGAUUCUUGUUUUGAUUUCCAGAGUCAA